rnacentral:rRNA from 1 species
GAUGAACGCUGGCGGCGUGCCUAAUACAUGCAAGUCGAGCGAACGGACGAGAAGCUUGCUUCUCUGAUGUUAGCGGCGGACGGGUGAGUAACACGUGGAUAACCCACCUAUAAGACUGGGAUAACUUCGGGAAACCGGAGCUAAUACCGGAUAAUAUUUUGAACCGCAUGGUUCAAAAGUGAAAGACGGUCUUGCUGUCACUUAUAGAUGGAUCCGCGCUGCAUUAGCUAGUUGGUAAGGUAACGGCUUACCAAGGCAACGAUGCAUAGCCGACCUGAGAGGGUGAUCGGCCACACUGGAACUGAGACACGUUCCAGACUCCUACGGGAGGCAGCAGUAGGGAAUCUUCCGCAAUGGGCGAAAGCCUGACGGAGCAACGCCGCGUGAGUGAUGAAGGUCUUCGGAUCGUAAAACUCUGUUAUUAGGGAAGAACAUAUGUGUAAGUAACUGUGCACAUCUUGACGGUACCUAAUCAGAAAGCCACGGCUAACUACGUG